CAAUUUUUCAUUUUAUAUCUUCUUCAACAGAAGAACCAUAAUCAUCUUCUACUCCAAAUUAUCAUUUCUCCAUUAAUGUCCAUGGAGACAAAUCCACCAACCUCCGAGUUAAUGUCGCCGGUCCAUAGUUUCCCCAACAGGUUCUUUAGCAGCGACUUCCAUACUGAUGAGGAAUUAAAUGCUCAAGCUUCAUCAUCUCGGUUGUGCUCAUGCUUGUUGAAAGCUGAUUUCUAGAGUAAGAAACAACAAUCUUCAUCAUGUUUAUCAAGAACACACAGAGAGAAGCAAGUUUGAAGAUCUUCAUCGUGUUUAUCGUAUGGUUCUAGAUUCGGACGGUGAUGGAUACAAGGGAAAUAAGAUCCAAUUCUCAGGACCGUUGGUUUCGUCAAACGUGGAUCAGAUGCUCAAGGAUCAUGACCAUGUUUAUGUUACAGCACAACACAACUAACACGUGUUAUAGUUUGAACUUAUCGGACAUGCAUGUGUCACAUGUGACAUGAAAACACAUUUUUAUAGCUUCCCUAGCAUACGCACACCCACAUGUUUACAAACCGUUUCAAGACCGACCCAAACAAUAAAGCAAGGGUAGCUGCUGAAAAGCUAAGGCAGCAAAGGUAGCCGCUGAAAAGCUAAGGCAGACUGCCAAAGGAAGCUCCACCAUUUUCUUAGUGCUAUGUAUUUUCGUUUACUAGUAAUAUGUAAUGUGUGACUCUUAUUGUUUUGUCUAGUACAUGAUGUUAAAACGGUAUGGACUUAAAACAUUUUGUGUUGGAGUCGCCCGUGUUUGUA